rnacentral:rRNA from 1 species
GCCCGAAGGGAAACCUGGAAUUAAGUACCGGAUGAGACCGGGACCCGCGAGUGGCGGGACCCGGGAAAGGCGCUGCGGCGCCGCCGGGGGAUGAGUCUGCGUCCCAUUAGCUAGACGGCGGGGUAACGGCCCACCGUGGCGACGAUGGGUAGCCGGCCUGAGAGGGUGGACGGCCACAUUGGAACUGAGACACGGUCCAGACUCCUACGGGAGGCAGCAGCUAAGAAUCUUCCGCAAUGGGCGAAAGCCUGACGGAGCGAACCGCCGCGUGAACGAAGAAGGCCGUGAGGUUGUAAAGUUCUUUUCGGGAGGGGGAACAACCGUGGCAGGGAAUGGCCGCGGGAUGACGUGAAUCCCGGAAUAAGCCCCGGCUAACUACGUGCCAGCCGCGGC